rnacentral:rRNA from 1 species
GACGAACGCUGGCGGCGUGCUUAACACACGCAAGUCGUACGGUAAGGCCCUUUCGGGGGUACACGAGUGGCGAACGGGUGAGUAACACGUGAGUAACCUGCCCACAACUUUGGGAUAACGCUAGGAAACUGGUGCUAAUACUGGAUAUGUGCUCCUGCUGCAUGGUGGGGGUUGGAAAGCUCCGGCGGUUGUGGAUGGACUCGCGGCCUAUCAGCUUGUUGGUGGGGUAGUGGCCUACCAAGGCGGCGACGGGUAGCCGGCCUGAGAGGGUGACCGGCCACAUUGGGACUGAGAUACGGCCCAGACUCCUACGGGAGGCAGCAGUGGGGAAUAUUGCACAAUGGGCGCAAGCCUGAUGCAGCAACGCCGCGUGCGGGAUAACGGCCUUCGGGUUGUAAACCGCUUUCAGCAGGGACGAAGCUUUUUGUGACGGUACCUGCAGAAGAAGCACCGGCUAACUACGUG